rnacentral:rRNA from 1 species
AUGCCCCCAGGUGAGCUGAUUUUCUUAUUUUUAAUAAGCUUUCUGGCUGUGCUGGAGGGCGGCUUGGUCUCGGCAUCGGGCGUUUCGCAGCGUGGUUUGUCUGCUAUUUGCAGGUGCUUGUUGGUCUGGCCGGUUCAUCCUUUGAUUUGUGCCAUCUUGCUACAUCUUCGCCCUUUUCUGGUUACUUGCCGUACUCGUUUUUUCCUUCCACGGACGAUUCCGAGCGAUCUGUGCUUCGCCUCUGCUGCCGGCGGUUGUGCCAGUCAUGCUCCUCCUGUUCUUUGUGAUUUGAAAGCAACUGAUGACUCAAUAUCAAUCAGUGCAUGGAGGGAACUCUUCUCCACCAUGCCGAUGACAGGAAAGGGGAAAAUCCAGUCCGCGGUGCCACCAAUGAACAAGGUGAUGCAAAUCAAUAUCUUGCUUUGUCUAUGCUAUGAAGUGGCCUAA